rnacentral:rRNA from 1 species
CCCUUAGAUGUUCUGGGCUGCACACGUGCUACACUGGCAGGUUCAGCGAGCUUCAUGCCCUGAUCUGAAAGGAAUGGGAAAUCUUUUCAAAACCUGCCGUGCUUGGGAUAGAUGUUUGCAAUUAUUCAUCUUCAACGAGGAUUGCCUUGUAAGCGCGGGUCAUCAUCCCGCGCUGAAUACGUCCCUGCCCUUUGUACACACCGCCCGUCGCUCCUACCGAUUGAGUGGUCCGGUGAGGCUUUGGGAUCUGAGCGGAAAGAGCGUUUCGCUGUUUCUGCCCGGAAAACUCAGUCGAACCUUAUCAUUUAGAGGAAGGAGAAGUCGUAACA